rnacentral:rRNA from 1 species
UACAGAGGGGGCAAGCGUUGUUCGGAAUUACUGGGCGUAAAGGGCGCGUAGGCGGCCCGCUAAGUCGAACGUGAAAUCCCCGAGCUCAACUCGGGAACUGCGUCCGAUACUGGCGGGCUUGAAUCCGGGAGAGGGAUGCGGAAUUCCAGGUGUAGCGGUGAAAUGCGUAGAUAUCGGGAGGAACACCGGUGGCGAAGGCGGCGACCUGGGUCGAGACUGACGCUGAGGCGCGAAAGCGUGGGUAGCAAACAGG